UACGUAGGUGGCGAGCGUUGUCCGGAUUUACUGGGCGUAAAGAGCGCGCAGGCGGCUGGUCAAGUCCGAUGUGAAAGCUCCCGGCUUAACUGGGAAAUUGCAUCGGAAACUGAUCGGCUGGAAGGUGGGAGAGGGUAGCGGAAUUCCCGGUGUAGUGGUGAAAUGCGUAGAUAUCUGGAGGAACACCGGUGGCGAAGGCGGCAUCCUGGACCGGUAUUGACGCUGAGGCGCGAAAGCGUGGGGAGCAAACAGG
rnacentral:rRNA from 1 species